rnacentral:rRNA from 1 species
GAUGAACGCUGGCGGCGUGCUUAACACAUGCAAGUCGAACGGAAAGGCCUCAGCUUGCUGGGGUACUCGAGUGGCGAACGGGUGAGUAACACGUGGGUGAUCUGCCCUGCACUUUGGGAUAAGCUUGGGAAACUGGGUCUAAUACCGAAUAUGACCACUUCUUGGAUGUUGUGGUGGAAAGCUUUUGCGGUGUGGGAUGAGCCUGCGGCCUAUCAGCUUGUUGGUGGGGUAAUGGCCUACCAAGGCGGCGACGGGUAUCCGGCCUGAGAGGGUGUACGGACACAUUGGGAUUGAGAUACGGCCCAGACUCCUACGGGAGGCAGCAGUGGGGAAUAUUGCACAAUGGGCGCAAGCCUGAUGCAGCGACGCCGCGUGGGGGAUGAAGGCCUUCGGGUUGUAAACUCCUUUCAUCAUCGACGAAGGGCUCACUUGUUGUGGGUUUGACGGUAGGUGGAGAAGAAGCACCGGCUAACUACGUGCCAGCAGCCGCCGUAA